CAGGACGAACGCUGGCGGCACGCCUAACACAUGCAAGUCGAACGGAGAAUACUUAGCUUGCUUUGUAUUCUUAGUGGCGGACGGGUGAGUAACACGUGAGCAACCUGCCUCUGAGAGAGGGAUAGCUUCUGGAAACGGAUGGUAAUACCUCAUAACAUUACAUGACCGCAUGAUCGUGUAAUCAAAGAUUUAUCACUCAGAGAUGGGCUCGCGUCUGAUUAGCUAGUUGGUGAGGUAACGGCUCACCAAGGCGACGAUCAGUAGCCGGACUGAGAGGUUGAACGGCCACAUUGGGACUGAGACACGGCCCAGACUCCUACGGGAGGCAGCAGUGAGGGAUAUUGCACAAUGGGGGAAACCCUGAUGCAGCCGACGCCGCGUGAAGGAAGAAGUAUCUCGGUAUGUAAACUUCUAUCAGCAGGGAAGAUGAUGACGGUACCUGACUAAGAAGCCCCGGCUAACUACGUGCCAGCAGCCGC
rnacentral:rRNA from 1 species